GAUGAACGCUGGCGGCGUGCCUAAUACAUGCAAGUCGAGCGAACGGACGAGAAGCUUGCUUUUCUGAUGUUAGCGGCGGACGGGUGAGUAACACGUGGAUAACCUACCUAUAAGACUGGGAUAACUUCGGGAAACCGGGGCUAAUACCGGAUAAUAUUUUGAACCGCAUGGGUCAAAAGUGAAAGACGGUCUUGCUGUCACUUAUAGAUGGAUCCGCGCUGCAUUGGCUAGUUGGUAAGGUAACGGCUUACCAAGGCAACGAUGCAUAGCCGACCUGAGAGGGUGAUCGGCGACCUGGGAAGUGGGACGCGGUCCAUGCGCCUGCGGGAGGCAGCAGUAGGGAAUGUGCCGCAGUGGGCGAAAGCCUGACGGAGCAACGCCGCGUGAGUGAUGAAGGUCUUCGGAGCGUAAAACUCUGUUACUAGGGAAGAACAUAUGUGGAAGUAACUGUGCACAGCUUGACGGUACCUAAUCAGAAAGCCCCGGCUAACUACGUG
rnacentral:rRNA from 1 species